CGGAGUGAUGGAAUCCAGGUGUUGUAUUAGACUGGCCAGAAAACGAUGUAGUGUAGGGACGGCCUGAGGAAUCGAGAU